rnacentral:lncRNA from 1 species
GUCGUUUGUUUCUAUAUACUAUAUUGUUUUUUUUAUUAUUUAUUUUGUACAUUAAUCAGGCCGUUAGAUUUUUUGUUUGUUUUACAUUAUUCGUUUCGGGAAUUGAAGACUUUGCAGUAUGACUUUUACUCAUUGUUGAAACCCUUACGGGACCUAUAAUUGUUUUAUGUCUCAUUUGGUCUCAUUUGCAAUCAUAUCACAUCUUCUUUUUUUAUAUGGAAUACUUUUGAAGUCUGUCGUACGUUGCAAGGGAAAAAAGGGGGAUAUAGUUAAAAACCUAUAAUGUAAUAGAUAUUAACCAGAGUUAAAUACACAACAAAAGAUAAUACUAUGGUAGCAGUAAUAAUUGUGAAAAAAAACAAAAAGCAACG